rnacentral:rRNA from 1 species
CAUCGCUUUUUGACUAUAAUUUAAGGUUUGACCUGCCCAAUGAGGAUUUAAAUGGCCGCGAUAUUUUGAUCGUGCGAAGGUAGCAUAAUCAUUAGUUUUUUAAUUGAAAGCUGGAAUGAAUGGUUGGACAAGGAAGUGUCUGUCUCAAUUUUAUUUUGAUAGAAUUUCAUUUUUAAGUAAAAAAGCUUAAAUGUAAUUUAAAGACGAGAAGACCCUAUAGAGUUUGAUAUUUAAAUUGUAGAGAUAUUAAGGUAUUUUUUUAUCUUUAUAUUGAUUGUAUUUGGUUGGGGUGACAGAAAAAUUGGUUAAACUUUUUUUAUUUUUAAAUGUUUAUAAACAGUUUAUUGAUCCAUUAUUUAUGAUUAAAAGAUUAAAUUACCUUAGGGAUAACAGCGUAAUCUUUUUUAAGAGUUCUAAUCGAAAAUUGGGAUUGCGACCUC